GUAAGUUAUUAGCCUAUCUUUCUGUAACCUUUCAGUAAUAGGUUAUUUUAUUUUCCUUCUGAUUUACUGGUAGAUGAAUGUGCAUCUAAACAAUCAGAAAAGUGGUGUUCAAGACUAUGUUGUCUUUACCUAUGUAUUUAAGAGUAGCCUCCACCUGCUCCUGUAUGUGGUAAUCAUUGCGCACACACACACAUACACACACACAAAUGCAGUGUGUAGAAUACCCUGAUUUCACUUUGUGUAUUUUUUUGUUAUCUUGGUCAUGAAGAGAUGUCUGGAUUCCACUACCUCUAAUUCAAUUUAGGAAGAGAAACUGACACUCUAUAAGGAAUAAUAUUCUUACCAAAAUAGCCUCUUCUUUCAAUGUUCCUGGGAGGGCAACACAUUAAUUAUGGAGGAUUCUAACAGAAAAUGUGUAACAUACUUCACAGAAUCACACUCUCCUUCACCUGUCUUGAAGUCAGUAUUUGAUCAACAGUUAUUUCAAAGUUAUGUUAAGACACUUAAAGCAGACUUCCAAAAAGAGAGAGAUAAACAUUGACAAUUCUUGUACAUAGCAAUCCAAAUUGCUCCCUUGAAAUGUCCCAUAUUUAUUCCAAAAGAGGCAUUUAUUGGCAACUAUUAACAUAAGCAAAGUAUCUUUAAAUGAAAGUCAUGUUGUAUUACUGACGAGUCUAAGGGAAAUUACAGACUUCUAACUAUUCUAUAUUUCUGAUGCAAUAUCAAAACACAAUUCCAUAACCCAAUUAUUAUAAAUAAUUCCUUGGAAGAUUAAACACUCUAGGCCACAGAACAACUGCAUAUAAUUGUUUUAAAUAAUGUCAAAGCGCUAUUUUUUAAAUAUUCAUAUAAUUAGAAAAAAUAAAUACUGUGCCAAAGUCACCAAAUUCCUGACUUGUCCCUGAAAAAUCUCAGGGUAAUUCAUAAAUAAAGAAAUGCUGUUCUAAAGGAGACUUUGAGUGUGGUUCAAACAGACUCAUCAUAAUGACUUUAAACAUUCUUUGGCAUUUGAUUUCUUAGUGCAGAAGAGAAUGUAAUUGGGAGGCUUUUCUGUUGGCAUCUUACUCUAGAGGUCACAGUUUACCGACUAUAAAUUCCAACAUAUCUGUCUCUAGCCCUGUUGUGGUCGCUUGACAUACUCCCCAGACUGCGGCUGGCUGCUGAUUAUUUCCACUGUCUGAUGGUUUUUUCAGAUUUCUGUGGAUUUGACUUGAUUUAUUCUGUGGACAUGAGCCUUGAACAACCCCAGAUGAAAGGAACAGACUGUGUUGUGGUUGGUUUGAUGGGGACAGGGAAGCCACAGACAGGGAUGGAAACCAAGCUGUUUUGUACAGAAGACAACUUUGCAACCUUCAGUGAAUGGAGAAAAAGUAUUUGAAGGUAACAUCUCCCAAUUUGAUAAUCUGCAGAAAAAUCUGCAUUCCUACGUGUAUCAUAUUGUAGGAAUAAAACAAUCAUUCUCAGACACUAAGCAAUCACGAGAGGACUGGAGAGUAUAUCUGCAGGAACAAAACUGCAUUCGCUGGUGAGGGGUGGCCUUGCUCAGGAAGAACCCACCCUCAUCUCCUUGACCAAAUGCCCAUUUUCAAAGUAAACAAGUGAGAUUAAAUUAGGUUGAAUGCAAUGCUCAAGUGUCUUUAUUAAGUGGACAAUUGUUUUUAUUUUCAUUGUUUUAGUAUUUAAAUAUUAAUGUCUGUGAUAUAUCACUUUUUAAAAUAUAAGUAAUGUACGGCUGGCUGGUUGGGGUAUCAUAUGUCAGUAAUCUCAGCAAUCAGAAGGCUGAGGCAGGAGGAUGGUAAGUUCAAGCCCAGCUUGGGCAAUUUAGAGACUUAGUGAGCACUUGUCUCACAAUAAAAGAUAAAAAUGGCUGGAGAUAUAACUCAGUGUGAAGGCCCAGUAAUGCAAAAAAAAAAAAAGUAUAGCUAAAAUUUAUCAUGUGCCAUGACUGUUCUAUACACAGCGUUGUUAAGUAUUAUUACUUUGCAUAUUCACAGAUGAGGAAACUGAGACCCAAAGAAUUUACAUAAAAUGUCCACAAUGAUAAAGUUAGUAAAAAUGAGAAACCAAAUAGCCAAAUAUAGAUCUUGACUCUUUGAACAUUGUAUUAUACUGUUUCUCAUGCUCUUUAUAGAAAAAGUGGAAAAAUAAUUGAAAAAAUAAAUGUCACCUUGAAUCGCAUUGCUAAAAGAUAACCAUUGUCUAUAUGGUUAAAGCUUUUUGCACUACAGGAUAUCAAACCACCACUAAAAGUUUAUGUUUUUCAUUUUCAUUAUCAUUCAUAAUUUAAAAUAUUUCAAAAUUUUCCAAAUAUUAUGAUGAUUUAUUUUUCAUGAUAUGAAAUUGAUUGGAUUAAGAAACGCCUAGGUGGUUAAUAACAUCUGCUUCUGGGUGUGUCUGAGUGGGUCAUGAAGUAUGACAUUGGGCACUAUAUCUGGUCCCUGGCCCCUCUUUCUCUGGCGCUGGUCCCCUGCUCUGCUUCCUAGCUGCCAUGAACCAAGCAGCUUUCCUCUGCCAGGCCCUUCUGCCCUGAUGUUCCUGCCUUGGAGCUGCUUACCAUGGACUGAAUCCCCUAGAACCUGGAGCCAAAUUAGACCUCUCCUCCUGUGGGCAUCCUGCAUUGUGUCGCAAGAACAGUGAAGCUGACUAAUAUAUAUAAUGCAUCUUCAUUUAUUUUAUGGGUAUUUCUUUUAGAUUUUUAAGUUGAUCAUUUUUUUACCACAAAAAAUACCACAUUGACAUCUUCGUGUUAAAGCUUUUGUGCAGUUAUUUAAAAUUAUCUUUCGGAUGUAGUACUAGAAGUGUAAUUCCUAUGCCAAUGACACGACUUAUUUU
rnacentral:lncRNA from 1 species